GGGGAUUUAGCUCAGUGGUAGAGCACUUGCCUAGCAAGCACAAGGACUUGGGUUCGGUCCCCAGCUCCG
rnacentral:tRNA from 1 species